GGAGAGUAUAAAAAAUCACGAUAAGCAGAGAACCGACACCUUGGAUGUCAGUUGUAUGUUCAGUUCACUUCAAGUUCAAGCUUUGAGAUUCAGCAACAAUUAUGAAGACGAUCGUACCAGCUUUCUUCACAAUCCUUUCACUUUGUUUGGCGUGCGUGUUUGGUCAUUUUAUUCGUGACAAGGCUGAAGACGAAAUUUUCCCCCUAGAUGAACA